rnacentral:lncRNA from 12 species
GGUGGGUAGAAGGUAUAUGCCUUCAACAGUUAACUUUGUUUUUAUGGUUUCCCUAGCCACCAGCUAAUAAUAUGUGCAAAUUUGACCAUCUAAACUACUCCCAAUAACUUCGCUGUUCACAGAAUGAUCUUUUAAGUGGAGUAUAUUACAAGAGAAAACAGCACAGCUCAUCCAUUUAGUACAGUACAACUUAUAAACGUGGAUCAUUCUCUCCCAUUCAUCAAAAUAGCAUAAAUUUCUGAUAAGCCCACUCCAGGCACCUUAUGCAGACGGAAGUAAGACUACUGUCUAGUUUAUCAAAAGGAAACAUGAGUAUAAUACUGGAAGUCAUAUCCUUCUCCCUCAUAAUGACAAGUUGAAGAACAGCAUACCAGCCUUGCUCUCCUCCCUCAUUCGUGUGCUCUCAGAAGCGUAAACAGACCAUCAAAACAGUCUAUGGGAUCUGCAGAGCCAAAAGGACUUAACAGACCAGAGAAAAAUACCUCCAGUGCAAGACUGUCUCACCAAGUGCCUAUGGCAGCAAACCAAAGGCAAAAUUGAGAAGUGAGGAAGGCAGAGAUGCUAGUGGAGAGAGGCCUGGGGCUGUGAGUCAGGGCAAUGGGAGAUACGGACCUACCAGAGGUAGGUCUCUGGAGUUUGAUGACUGAGGCUCUGCUGGAGAACUCAGACAGAUGGGUUCAUCAAGGAUCUGAGAAAUACCUGUGACAGAAAGCGAGACAUAUCCAGCAGGAGGCAGGUCCAGCCACAUCUGCGGUAUCUUUGAAAUGCAGUAUUAGAGAGGGAAAAAGCAACAUUUUGGAGGCACAGGGGACACGCCACUGCUUUCUGAAAUCAAUUAUGGGCUUUUUAGUUCCAAGAGUCUCUCCCCAUUCACAUGGUUCCAGGUCUUACUUAUUGCUGGG